rnacentral:rRNA from 2 species
AAUGAUUUAUCGCCGUAGGAUGGGACUGCGGCCUAUCAGUUUGUUGGUGAGGUAAUGGCCCACCAAGACUAUUACAGGUACGGGCUCUGAGAGGAGUAGCCCGGAGAUGGGUACUGAGACACGGACCCAGGCCCUAUGGGGCGCAGCAGGCGAGAAAACUUUGCAAUGUGCGAAAGCACGACAAGGUUAAUCCGAGUGGUUUCUGCUAAAGGAACCUUUUGUCAGUCCUAGAAACACUGAUGAAUAAGGGGUGGGCAAGUUCUGGUGUCAGCCGCCGCGGUAAAACCAGCACCUCAAGUGGUCAGGAUGAUUAUUGGGCCUAAAGCAUCCGUAGCCGGCUCUGUAAGUUUUCGGUUAAAUCUGUACGCUCAACGUACAGGCUGCCGGGAAUACUGCAAAGCUAGGGAGUGGGAGAGGUAGACGGUACUCGGUAGGAAGGGGUAAAAUCCUUUGAUCUAUUGAUGACCACCUGUGGCGAAGGCGGUCUACCAGAACACGUCCGACGGUGAGGGAUGAAAGCUGGGGGAGCAAACCGGAUUAGAUACCCGGGUAGUCCCAGCUGUAAACUAUGCAAACUCAGUGAUGCAUUGGCUUGUGGCCAAUGCAGUGCUGCAGGGAAGCCGUUAAGUUUGCCGCCUGGGAAGUACGUACGCAAGUAUGAAACUUAAAGGAAUUGGCGGGGGAGCACCACAAGGGGUGAAGCCUGCGGUUCAAUUGGAGUCAACGCCGGG